rnacentral:rRNA from 1 species
CAGAACGAACGCUGGCGGCAUGCCUAACACAUGCAAGUCGAACGAGACCUUCGGGUCUAGUGGCGCACGGGUGCGUAACGCGUGGGAAUCUGCCCUUGGGUUCGGAAUAACUUCGGGAAACUGAAGCUAAUACCGGAUGAUGACGUAAGUCCAAAGAUUUAUCGCCCAAGGAUGAGCCCGCGUAGGAUUAGCUAGUUGGUGAGGUAAAGGCUCACCAAGGCGACGAUCCUUAGCUGGUCUGAGAGGAUGAUCAGCCACACUGGGACUGAGACACGGCCCAGACUCCUACGGGAGGCAGCAGUGGGGAAUUUUGGACAAUGGGCGAAAGCCUGAUCCAGCAAUGCCGCGUGCAGGAAGAAGGCCUUCGGGUUGUAAACUGCUUUGUACGGAACGAAACGGUGAGCUCUAAUACAGUUUGCUAAUGACGGUACCGUAAGAAUAAGCACCGGCUAACUACGUG